UGGCUCAGACGGUAAAGCGUCUGCCUACAAUGCAGGAGACCUAGGUUCAAUCCCUGG
rnacentral:tRNA from 1 species